rnacentral:rRNA from 1 species
UACGUAGGGUGCGAGCGUUGUCCGGAAUUAUUGGGCGUAAAGAGCUCGUAGGCGGUUUGUUGCGUCUAUCGUGAAAACCUGCAGCUUAACUGUGGGCUUGCGGUGGAUACGGGCAGACUUGAGUUCGGUAGGGGAGACUGGAAUUCCUGGUGUAGCGGUGAAAUGCGCAGAUAUCAGGAAGAACACCAACGGCGAAGGCAGCUCGCUGGGACGGUACUGACGCUGAGACGCGAAAGCGUGGGGAGCGAACAGG